UAGUGUUACAGUUCUUUUAGAAUUUGUCUAGCAGGUCUUACAGUCCACACCAAAACACCAAA
rnacentral:snRNA from 1 species